rnacentral:rRNA from 1 species
ACUCCUACGGGAGGCAGCAGUCGAGAAUAAUUCACAAUGGGGGCAACCCUGAUGGUGCAACGCCGCGUGGAGGAUGACGGUCUUCGGAUUGUAAACUCCUGUCAUCCGGGAGUAAGACCUGGGAGUGAACAGCUCACAGGGUUGAUAGUACCGGAAGAGGAAGGGACGGCUAACUUCGUGCCAGCAGCCGCGGUAAUACGAAGGUCCCGAGCGUUGUUCGGAAUCACUGGGCGUAAAGGGAGCGUAGGCGGCGCGGUAAGUCAGAUGUGAAAUCCCGGGGCUCAACCCCGGAACUGCAUCCGAUACUGCCGUGCUAGAGCAAUGGAGGGGUAGCCGGAAUUCUCGGUGUAGCAGUGAAAUGCGUGGAUAUCGAGAGGAACACUCGUGGCGAAGGCGGGCUACUGGACAUUUGCUGACGCUGAGGCUCGAAGGCCGGGGGAGCGAAAGGGAUUAGAUACCCUGGUAGGCUCU